GGAGGAGAAGCCAAGUUAUCAAGGUAGUGGAAGACAUUGGGGGUUUGCUGGAGGAAUGACCUCCUUAGCACCUGAGCCAACCAUUUCCAACAGGGCAGCCAAAGGCACAGAGGUUUUAAGCCAAAUUAAAUACACACACACACACACACACACACACACACGUUCCUAGAAAAAGAAGAGAGGAGAGGCGGGGAGUGAGGGAGAAAAGAGAGAGAGAGGGUGGAGAGGAAAGAGAGAAAGACCAACAGACCUGGGAGACAAGAGGAAAAAAGGACUGGAGGAGUGGGACUGAGAGAGAGAGAAAGGAGGGAGAGGGCAGCAAAAAAAGAGAAAAAGAAAGACGGGGAAGAGGAAAAAACAUGGCGCUUGCGAGCUGUAUGUGCAAAAUCCGCAAGGAAUUGCAGUAAAUUCCUUUUUGUUUGAAGAAAAUUUACAACUUGGUAAUAGACCUUUUUAUGACCUAUUUGCGGUCGUCAUUGGCUGCGGCUGGUCAUGUGCAGGCGCCGCUCGCCUUCACGGCCUUUUUCCUGAUUUCCCAGGCGAAUUUCCCCCCGCAUUCUGCUUUCCCAGAGCCUCACCCCCUCUUUUUCUAACCUUUGUCUCUGCAGAGGUGGGCUCCAGUCGGCGGCUGCGGGGUUGCGGGGUCCGUUGCGGCCUCGGCUCCUGCCCGGCGCCGGGCCUGACCCUACGGCCGCUAGCUCCGGACGCACCGUGGCCGCCUCCGGAGCUGGUGGGGAGCCCGGAAGGAGCCCCAGGCGCCGAGCCCCCCGCCGGCGCUGACACCGCCUGCCGGCAGCAGCAGGCCUGCUCCGAGUGACUAGCCGCGCGGUUCCGACGCGGUUUCUUCUCCAACAUGAGCCAGUUCCUGCUGCCCAGAGUGCGCGCAGCCAGGCUGUGCUUAGUGGAUUACAGCAGCCGCCCAGGCCGACCGCCGGCUCCCGCUGGACAGCCUCCGGCCUGGUGCGUCUGCUUUGGGAAGAGGCCUUUCCUCUUGGCGCCUGUUCAAACCGCCAAACUUAAGGCCAAUCUUUCAGGCAGACCAUUCCCGGAUCUUGUUACGCCAGCGCAGCACGUUCGAGGGCUGGGGUGGGGAGAGCGGCUCAGCGGAGAGCAGUCAAGUAAAUAAAUAAAUAAACCGACAAACUGGACGGAUU
rnacentral:lncRNA from 1 species